rnacentral:misc_RNA from 1 species
AAUUCACGCGAUCUUGCUUGUCAGGUGUGUGGACAUUUUGCUUUUCUUAAUUUCAUAGUUUUAUGAAGCAAUAUCAUUGGAAGUUUUUGUUUGUUUAGUGACUAACUGAUAACCCCAAGGCAAUUAAAGACAAACUAUUGAGGCUUUUGGGUUGAGGGCUGCUGCAUGGGCUAAACAAUUAAUGUCAUGAAGCUGGGAAUGUAAGAUUAAGGUGUCUACUGCAAAUUGCAAUAAA